rnacentral:lncRNA from 1 species
CUCCCGCCCCCAAACCCUUAAAUAAUGCAAAAAAAAAAAAAAAAUUGCUGGGGGCUAUACAAUAUCAGAAAAACGUCUGUGGGCCAGAUUUGGCCAGCAGGCAGGUUUUUGCUGGUCCCUGGCCUAAGGAAUGGUUGACCUCAAGAUAGAAUAGAAACUGAAUCACCACAUGGAGGAAAGCUCCCCACCAACCAAGGAUUCUUCACAUCAGCAGCCUCUGCCAUGGACCAUUGUGUGACUGAGAAAUAAACAUCUUCUGUAUUUGAGCCAGGAUGUAUGUUUAGGUCUAGGUGUUACAGAAGCUAGGUUAACCUAACUAAUACAGAGAAGAUAGCUAAGGCAGGGCAUCCGAAAAGAUGACAGGUAAACACAAAUCUGAAGGAGAAAGCCAGGCAGAUGUUUGGGAGAAGAGAAUUACAAGCAGAGGCCCCAGAGUCAGGAGCACAUCUCUAGUGUUUGAGGAACAGAGAGAAGCGAGUGAGUCUGGAUUAGAAUGCUCAGGAAGAAGGCUAUGGGGAUUUGAGUUUACAGAAGAAAGAGGCAACUAAAUUUUGUAGAACCUCACAGAUUAUGGCUUGGUUUUAUUUAGAGGGAAACGGGAAGCUUCUAGAAGGUUCUGAGUUGAGUAGUGACAUGACAAUGCUGUGGUAACAAUGGUUUCACUCUGACUGCCUUACUGAAGAUGCAUAAAGGGGAUCUCUGGUGGAAUUGGGAGACCAGUUAGGAGACUACUGCAAUCAUUCAAGAGAAAGAUGAUGGAGACUGGGAAUAAAAUUGCAGCAAUGGAGAAGUCAUCUUUUCUAAAACUCUUCUAGUGGCAGCUCUAAAUAUCAGUUGGACUGGUACUGAAGAAAAAACAGGACAAAAAGGCCAGAAGGUCUCGCCCCACAGCAAAUUAGAAGUUAAUUUGCAUGAGAGCAAGAGCCUUUGCUGUCCUGUUUUACAUCGUUGAUGCCUAAAUGAAAAGAAUGAAAGAAGAUGGAGAGAUCUGAGUACAACCAUCAAGUGAAGGCGUAACCAAGGGAGGCUUGAGCAUACACGUAGACAGAGGGGAGGAAUCUUGUGGAAUAGAAGAGGAUAGAGACACAGAAGAGAGGAUUCAUUGGUGAAAUGAAGCCUCAUGCAUGUUAAUGGGUAAAUAACUUGAGUUGAGAUUUAUCCCGGGAAGACAAAAUCCAGUUCUUUCACUCAGCUAGGAAACACCCCUGCAUCCCCUUAGGAAUCUGCUCUCCUUUAGAAGCAAUUAUCUGACUUUGCUGUGGCUGAAAAACAACACUUUGGCCAAAAGGAAGUUUCUCAUUGAUCAACCCUAUAGCUUUAGAUGUCCCUGACACUGGCCCUCAAAUUCUCAAUGUCUGGUUAAGGACUAGUCAUAACAAAGAAGAUGAUUUCGUCUUAACAUAUGCACAGAGAACACCUGGGCAGGGCAGAGUUCCUUAGCUUAGUUGAGCUGUUAAAUUUGGAGGUAUGACUUUAAUAAGGAUUUUAUAAGUAAACCUAAAAAUUGUGUGGGCCAAUCACCACCCUCUACCCAACCUAUUUUACAAAUGAUGUGCAAAAUUCAAGAGGUUGACUGAAACUCUUCCUCCCGAUUUAUGAUUGAAGACUGUUCCCAUUCCUCAUGCCAUGCAGAAAAAGCCAAAAACUUUGCUUUUGUCUAUCCUUCUUCCUUCUCUGCCAAAGAAGGCAUAAAAAUGUGCUAUAAGCUCGUGUUUGGGAUGGGGGAAAUUACUCCUGUGGAGGUCUCCGGAAUGACAUGAGUAUUUCACUUCAAAUUCAGCCAAACCUGAGGAAAUGCUUUGCCAAGUUUCUCAGGUCUCAGUCCUUUUUCUUGGUGCACUGAGUCACAUCUCUUUCCAAGUUUACCAAGAAUACGUCCCCUAGUAAAGGCAGAAAACAAUGGCAGGAUGGUAAAGCCAAUCUAUCUGUAUAUGCAGUGCAGUAAUAAAGCUCUCUGGUUCAUUUUUCAUGCCUAAACCACCUUUUAGAGUUUUCAAAUACAGUGAUUUCUCUUUGUUCUUAGCAGUUGAAGUUCUGCAUAUGAUACAGCAUUAAAACAAAUCUUUCAUACAUUUCCUUUGUCACCUGCUCGGAAUCUUUGGGAGAUCAAGGCUUCUUUCUGAGCACUAGGAAGUGCCUCCUCUCUCUAAGGAAACACAUCAAAGACAAAAGCCCCCUCCUCCACAAAUAAUGAAAGAAAUCAGAAUAUAAGCCAAAACUGAAAUGGGAAUGUGAGAUGCUAAAUGCAUUAGUCACGUGUUUGUUUUCAGAGCACCUCAUUUCCUGUGGCUUCUUCUCCCAUGACUGGUUUCCACAAGGUUGACUAAGACCAAAGAGUGACACCGUAGUGUGAUGUACUGGGCUGUCCCAUUUGUCAACUUUCAAUUGCUCAUGAAAAAAGAGAGUUAACUCCUUCACCACUGCCUCCUCUUUUCUCUUCCUACCCUUCUCAGAAUACAAGAAUUUCUUAUUAUCUUAGAGAUCCUUGCUGCUGCUUUCUUGUGACGUUUUGUCUACUAGAAUCUAAUUGAAAAGUGCUACUGUUCCUCAUCCCAUUUUAUCCCCCAGAAAACUGGCAGUCUUGACAAUUUUCUGACAUUUCCAAACAGCUCAGGCUCUUCCUGCCAACUCCCAGUAGCUCUCUAAACCUUUUUAAUCCCAUAGAAUGCAAACUAAUCUACUGAGAGAAAGGCACCAGGCCUGGUCUGGCAGCUGAAGCUAGGAAUGUCAGAGUGGGGAAAAUGAUAAAUACACCUGCCACAGAGAAAGGGAGAGACACAGCCAGGCUCAGCAACACAAUAAGGUUAUUUAAUGUACAGAGAUAGGCAGGACACUCUCCAGUACCCUCGAGUGCAAAUUGCAUGGAGGUGAUUUGUUCAGAAAUAGAAAUGACAGCUAUUAACAAUGUGCACAGUCUCGAGGUGGCUGUGUUAGGGAAGACACAGAGAUAAGGGGCAGAAAUCCACCUGUGUCCCCUCAGACCACUCUCAGUUUUCCUCUGUUUGUUCCAGGGUUACUGAAGUCAGUAGCACCUUGGGAUCUACAUCUCCAUGCUGUGGAAGGAGGGGAAUGGCUGCCUCCUAGAUGGGAACCACUGGAUUAAGUUAAUAUCAGGCUGCUCCAGAAGCAACGAAGUGACUUUGAGUAAAAGUAUCUUUCUGUGCUCUCAA